CCCAUUAUAUGUGCCUCAACAUUUGAGAACGUGUUCAGAUAUCAUGGUGUACAUGGGAGCAUACUGGUCAUUUGCCCUGCUUGUCGAACACUGUGUGGCUUUUCUUUUAUCUCUUCCUUUCUUUCUUCAUAUCUUCUUUGUUUUUUUUUCCUUUCCAACCUUACUUGAGCCAAGGGUCUUUCGAAAAGAACCUCACUACCUUCACAAGGUAGGGGUAAGGUCUAGUACACACCACCCUCCCCAAACCCACUUUGUGGAUUACCCUUCGUAUGUUGUUGCUUUUUCAACCUUUAAUUUGAAGUUCGAAUCACAACGCAGAUAUCAUGGUGUACAUGGGAGCAUAUUGGUCAUUUACCCUGCUUGUCGAACACUGUGUGGCUUUUCUUUUAUCUCUGCCUUUCUUUCUUCAUAUCUUCUUUGUUUUUUUUGCCUUUCCAACCUUACUUGAGCCAAGGGUCUUUCGAAAAGAACCUCACUACCUUCACAAGGUAGGGGUAAGGUCUACGUACACACCACCCUCCCCAAACCCACUUUGUGGAUUACCCUUCGUAUGUUGUUGCUUUUUCAAC
rnacentral:lncRNA from 1 species